rnacentral:rRNA from 1 species
AUUGAACGCUGGCGGCAGGCCUAACACAUGCAAGUCGAGCGAGCGGCGGACGGGUGAGUACUGUCUGGCAAACUGCCUGAUGGAGGUGGAUACCGACUGGAAACGGUAGCUAAUACCGCAUCCCAUCAGAUGUGCCCCGAUUGCAUUAGCUAGUAGGUGGGGUAAUUGCUCACCUAGGCGACGAUCCCUAGCUGGUCUGAGAGGAUGACCAGCCAUACUGGAACUGAGACACGGUCCAGACUCCUACGGGAGGCAGCAGUGGGGAAUAUUGCACAAUGGGCGCAAGCCUGAUGCAGCCAUGCCGCGUGUGUGAAGAAGGCCUUCGGGUUGUAAAGCACUUUCAGCGGGGAGGCGUUACCCGCAGAAGAAGCACCGGCUAACUCCGUGCCAGCAGCCGCGGUAAUAC